CAGGGAUAAUCUGUAACUCGGUAAUGUUGUAAAUACCCUACGGCGAAAGAAUUGGGAAACGAUUUACAAGGCUACAGGGAAUAAGUCUACCUUUGACAGGAAAUUGUAGAAUUGUGGUAUAAGUGACCUCAAAGAGAACCCCAAGCUCAAGUUUCUGGAAACCUGUGGAGCAAAGGCCUUUUCCUUCAGUUCAACAGACAGAGCUAAAUGUGACUUUUGCUUGAAAGGUCACAAGUUAAAAUACUGCUUGGUUUGGGAUUGUUGGCAAUUACUUAUUGAUGAGGUUUUUUGGUUAAAUAUGUUACACUUCAGAGACUUCCCUGUGCUUUAGUCAAAGCUCAAACAGAGGAGAAAUGCAAACACGAGGAAGUGCUUGAAGUCAGGCAGUGAAUCCUGAGUUAUCCUCAUUUUCCUGCCCUCAGGGAUGCUGAGCUCCUGCAGGAACUCGUGAAGCUCUUCCUAUUUAGGUCAUUUUCUUUCCUUUUAUAAGGCUUAUCUUUUCCCCUGGCACUGGGAGGUUUCACACAAAUGUAAGGCUGUUUCCUGAGAAUCCCCUCUGCCUGAGAGGCCAUUCCUAAUGUAAUUAUCUAACAAUGAGCACGUGCCAUCGCUUUGCAUGUAAUAAUGAUUCUUAGCUAAAUUAUCUCAUCUUAAAAGCAUCUCAAGUGUCCAACAUCUAAAGCUUUCACUUUAUGACUUGUGGAAAUAAGAGAUACUAAAACUACAAGAACACUUAUUUCUUCCCUCUUUUAUGUUUUUUUUUUUCCAUUUCUAUACUUGCCAUUUUAACCAUGCUCAUUUUAUCCACACAUUUAUCCAAAAGUCUACCCAUAAAUUUGAUUUCUUCUAUUUUCCUGAAGCAAAUUUUGCUCUUCAUUUAUGGGAUUUAUUCCCAUAUACACCUGUAUAUUUUCCAUGGGGAUUUUCUCCAUGCAUUGGCCGAGUAUUUUAGCAGCAUUUGAGUAAUUGCUGCAGUGCUUUCACCAUUAUUUUUCCUGGGCUGUCUGCACCUCUCGAAUUCUAAAAAGCCUUGAAGUGAUGUGGAUUUUUCUGUGCAGCUUCAGCUGUCAUUGAUGGAAGAUGAACUGGAGCAAGGUGAAGUCUGUGGUUUGAUUCGAAGCCUGGGAGCUUUGUUACUCUAAUCUCUUCUGGCACCGAGUUCUCCAGCCGUGAGCAGGUUAAAAAGGGAAAGGGAAAAGGAAAAAGGAAAAGCUCUGUGACCUUUAUUUGGAAGUGGGUAAUUCCACUGAACCAGGAAGAGCUCUCACACCCUUACUGACACCAUUUCGUACUCUACAGAUGCAGCUUUUCCUGGUUCAGUGGAGUUACCCACUUCCAAAUAAAGGUCACAGAGCUUUUCCUUUUUCCUUUUCCUUUUAUUCAGGCACCAGAACAGAUCUGAAGGCUGCCCUUGGGGUUUCCUUGUCUGCCCAGUGCAAGGGGGAAUUAAUUAGUUUGGGACAUGAGUUGGGUUGGAGUCUUUUAGUGUCACUGCAGGGCUUGGCUUUCAACAAGGCAUUUACAGACAAAAGUGCUGCUUCUGGGGGCUCUGUGGAAGGGACUGAAGGAGAGUUUGCAUUUCUGAGUUUUAUUAUCCACAUGUUUCAGUUGCCCCCAAGAACUUUGGCUAAUUGCAAUGUAUUCUUGGUUAUAAAAGCAAAAAAAAAAACCAAAACCAAAAGACAAUGCAUUGGAGAGCC